GACGAACGCUGGCGGCGUGCUUAACACAUGCAAGUCGAACGGAAAGGCCCUGCUUUUGUGGGGUGCUCGAGUGGCGAACGGGUGAGUAACACGUGAGUAACCUGCCCUUGACUUUGGGAUAACUUCAGGAAACUGGGGCUAAUACCGGAUAGGAGCUCCUGCUGCAUGGUGGGGGUUGGAAAGUUUCGGCGGUUGGGGAUGGACUCGCGGCUUAUCAGCUUGUUGGUGGGGUAGUGGCUUACCAAGGGUUUGACGGGUAGCCGGCCUGAGAGGGUGACCGGCCACAUUGGGACUGAGAUACGGACCAGACUCCUACGGGAGGCAGCAGUGGGGAAUAUUGCACAAUGGGCGGAAGCCUGAUGCAGCAACGCCGCGUGCGGGAUGACGGCCUACGGGUUGUAAACCGCUUUCGCAUGUGACGAAGCGUGAGUGACGGUAAUGGGUAAAGAAGCACCGGCUAACUACGUG
rnacentral:rRNA from 1 species